GAUGAACGCUGGCGGCGUGCCUAAUACAUGCAAGUCGAGCGAACGGACGAGAAGCUUGCUUCUCUGAUGUUAGCGGCGGACGGGUGAGUAACACGUGGAUAACCUACCUAUAAGACUGGGAUAACUUCGGGAAACCGGAGCUAAUACCGGAUGAUAUUUUGAACCGCAUGGUUCAAAAGUGAAAGACGGUCUUGCUGUCACUUAUAGAUGGAUCCGCGCUGCAUUAGCUAGUUGGUAAGGUAACGGCUUACCAAGGCAACGAUGCAUAGCCGACCUGAGAGGGUGAUCGGCCACACUGGAACUGAGACACGGUCCGGACUCCUACGGGAGGCAGCAGUAGGGAAUCUUCCGCAAAGGGCGAAAGCCUGACGGAGCAACGCCGCGUGAGUGAUGAAGGUCUUCGGAUCGUAAAACUCUGUUAUUAGGGAAGAACAUAUGUGUAAGUAACUGUGCACAUCUUGACGGUACCUAAUCAGAAAGCCACGGCUAACUACGUG
rnacentral:rRNA from 1 species